CCUACGAGUGGCUGCAGUGGGGGAUAUUGCACAAUGGGGGAAACCCUGAUGCAGCGACGCCGCGUGAGUGAAGAAGUAUUUCGGUAUGUAAAGCUCUAUCAGCAGGGAAGAAAAUGACAGUACCUGACCAAGAAGCCGCGGAUACCGACGUGCCAGCAGCCGCGGUAAUACGUAGGGGGCAAGCGUUAUCCGGAUUGACUGGGUGUAAAGGGAGCGUAGACGGUUAAGUAAGUCUGGGGUGAAAGCACGGGGCCCAACCCCGGGACUGCUUUGGAAACUGUGUAACAGGAGGACAGGAGGGGCAGGCGGAAUUCCUGGUGUAGCGGUGAAAUGCGUAGAUAUCAGGAGGAACACCGGCGGCGAAGGCGGCCUGCUGGACUGAAACUGACGUUGAGGCUCGAAAGCGUGGGGAGCAAACAGGAUUAGAUACCCGAGUAGUC
rnacentral:rRNA from 1 species